rnacentral:lncRNA from 1 species
CAUUGUGGUACUCUGUUCUUUCCAGAGAAGAAAAAUUUCCUGCUGCUGUUAUCAACAAAACAGAAAUUAGAUAUAAUUAUCCAGAAAUUAAAGCAAAAACUCUACUGUUACCUGACUCCUGUGGGCAAUUGAAACCGAAAGCGCAUUUGCCACUGGAGAGCUGGCUUCAGUUGAGCUGCGCACGUGACCAUGAGUGGGAAACCACAACAUCUGGACAGUGGUGAUCUCAUCCACGUAUCAGCCUCAAGAAUGUGGUAGAAAUCAUGUUUGAGUGAGUUCUGGAUCCUAAGACUUAAAAGGAAGUCUUGCAGCUUCCACCUUGGAACCCUGAGACCAUCAUCCUGUGAAGAAAUCCAGAUCAGAGGCCCCAUGGAGAAGUACCAGAGCAUGCCAGCUGACUACCCACACAAAGGCUCCGGACAUAUAAGUGAACCAUCUUGGACUUCCCAGCCUGGUCUGGUCACCAACUAAGUGCAGCCACAUGAUAGCUGACAUUCAAAAGACUGAGGGGUUUUGAAAUUACUUCUGCUUAGAAACGAGCGUCAAGAAACCAGUUUUCUAUGGCAUACUGGCUGAGAAAGUACGCAAACACAGAGGUCUUGCUCUGAGGGAGUGGUGAUCUGUUUCUCAUGAAGAAAUGUUCAGCUGGUGAGCUGGAGUUGCAUCCUAGGAUGUGGCAGACGUUCCCGGUUAGUCACAGCCACUUCUGGACCACUGCAGACGUUCUUCCAGGGGGCAAAGACUUCAUCUCUAAGUUACCUCAAGGCUGUGAGCAUCUGAGAUCAUGGUUUGCAGAAGCAGCUCUCUCCCGAGAGAGCAGGAGGAAGAGACUGAAAAUCUCCUGGAGCUAAGAACAUACAAUGGAGAAAGGAAAGUCUCUUCAAUAAAUGGUAUUGGGGAAACUGGACAGCCACAUGCAAAAGAAUGAACAUAGACCAUUAUCGUUCACUAUACAAAAAAUUAACUCAAAAUGGAUAAAAGACUUGAAGGUAAGACCUGAAGCAAUAAAAUUCUUAGAAGAAGAUAUAGGCAGUACACUUUUUGACGUUGGUCUUAGAAGGAUCUUUUUGAAUACCAUGUCUACUUGGGCAAGGGAAACAGAAGAAAAAAUAAACAAAUGAGACUUCAUCAGACUAAAGAUCUUCUACAAGGCAAAGGAAACCAGAAACAAAACUAAAAGGUAGUCCACCAACUGGGAGAAAAUAUUUGCAAAUCAUAUAUCUGACAAGGGGUUAACUUCCAAAAUAUGUAAACGAC